GAUGAACGCUGGCGGCGUGCCUAAUACAUGCAAGUCGAGCGAACAGACGAGGAGCUUGCUCCUCUGACGUUAGCGGCGGACGGGUGAGUAACACGUGGAUAACCUACCUAUAAGACUGGGAUAACUUCGGGAAACCGGAGCUAAUACCGGAUAAUAUAUUGAACCGCAUGGUUCAAUAGUGAAAGACGGUUUUGCUGUCACUUAUAGAUGGUUCCGCGCCGCAUUAGCUAGUUGGUAAGGUAACGGCUUACCAAGGCAACGAUGCGUAGCCGACCUGAGAGGGUGAUCGGCCACACUGGAACUGAGACACGGUCCAGACUCCUACGGGAGGCAGCAGUAGGGAAUCUUCCGCAAUGGGCGAAAGCUUGACGGAGCAACGCCGCGUGAGUGAUGAAGGUCUUCGGAUCGUAAAACUCUGUUAUUAGGGAAGAACAAAUGUGUAAGUAACUAUGCACGUCUUGACGGUACCUAAUCAGAAAGCCACGGCUAACUACGUG
rnacentral:rRNA from 1 species